GCUGGGUGCGGUGGCUCACACCUGUAAUCCCAGCACUUUGGGAGGCCGAGGUGGGCAGAUAACUUGAGUCCAGGAGUUUGAGACCAGCCUGGCCAACAUGGUGAAAACCCAUCUCUGCUAAAAAUACAAAAAUUAGCUGUGUGUGGUUGCGGGGGCUGCUAAUCCCAGCUACUUGGGAGAAUGAGGCAGGGAAAAUUACUUGAACCCAGGAGGCGGAGGUUGCAGUAAGCCGAGAUUGUGCCACUGCACUCUCGCCUGGGCAAUAGAGUGAGAUUCCACCUCA
rnacentral:sRNA from 1 species